ACUGGGUGUGGUGGUGCAUGCCUGUAAUCCCAGUGGCUCAGGAGGCUGAGGCAGGAGGAUGGUGAGUUCAAAGCCAGCAUCAGCAACAGCGAGGUGCUAAGCAACUCUGUGAGAGCCUGUCUCUA
rnacentral:sRNA from 1 species